GCAUGUCUAAGUAUAAGCAACUUGUACUGUGAAACUGCGAAUGGCUCAUUAAAUCAGUUAUCGUUUAUUUGAUAGUACCUUACUACAUGGAUACCUGUGGUAAUUCUAGAGCUAAUACAUGCUAAAAACCCCGACUUCAGGAAGGGGUGUAUUUAUUAGAUAAAAAACCAACGCCCUUCGGGGCUCCUUGGUGAAUCAUAAUAACUUAACGAAUCGCAUGGCCUUGCGCCGGCGAUGGUUCAUUCAAAUUUCUGCCCUAUCAACUUUCGAUGGUAGGAUAGUGGCCUACCAUGGUGGCAACGGGUAACGGGGAAUUAGGGUUCGAUUCCGGAGAGGGAGCCUGAGAAACGGCUACCACAUCCAAGGAAGGCAGCAGGCGCGCAAAUUACCCAAUCCCGAUACGGGGAGGUAGUGACAAUAAAUACUGAUACGGGGCUCUUUUGGGUCUCGUAAUUGGAAUGAGAACAAUUUAAAUCCCUUAACGAGGAACAAUUGGAGGGCAAGUCUGGUGCCAGCAGCCGCGGUAAUUCCAGCUCCAAUAGCGUAUAUUAAAGUUGUUGCAGUUAAAAAGCUCGUAGUUGAACCUUGGGUCUGGCUGGCCGGUCCGCCUCACCGCGAGUACUGGUCCGGCUGGACCUUUCCUUCUGGGGAACCUCAUGGCCUUCACUGGCUGUGGGGGGAACCAGGACUUUUACUGUGAAAAAAUUAGAGUGUUCAAAGCAGGCCUUUGCUCGAAUACAUUAGCAUGGAAUAAUAGAAUAGGACGUGUGGUUCUAUUUUGUUGGUUUCUAGGACCGCCGUAAUGAUUAAUAGGGAUAGUCGGGGGCGUCAGUAUUCAGCUGUCAGAGGUGAAAUUCUUGGAUUUGCUGAAGACUAACUACUGCGAAAGCAUUCGCCAAGGAUGUUUUCAUUAAUCAGGGAACGAAAGUUAGGGGAUCGAAGACGAUCAGAUACCGUCGUAGUCUUAACCAUAAACUAUGCCGACUAGGGAUCGGACGGGAUUCUAUGAUGACCCGUUCGGCACCUUACGAGAAAUCAAAGUUUUUNGNUNNCUGGGGGG
rnacentral:rRNA from 1 species